rnacentral:lncRNA from 1 species
UUCCAUCAACCAAGCGUCUUCAUCAAUAACCUUACCUCCGGAUACUUCAUUCCCAGAUGUCAUGUUGAGAGAACUAGAAACACACUAGAGAAACGUUAAAUAGUUAUAAGAUAAAAUAUUUACAAAAAGAAGAAAAAAAACUUGUAAAAAUAAAAGUAAAAGUUUAAUAUAGAAAAAUAGUUAAUUUCUAAAUCCCGACAACGACGCCAAAAACUUGUUGCGGCCAAACACACACGCAAGUAUACGCGAUCGUCAAGUAAUAAAGUUAUUAAAAGUCAGAUGUCGAACUCACGAGGACUUGUGAUUAACUAUUAACUAAAAUAGACUAUCCUAAUUAUCUAAACAAGAAUUAAACCUAGAAAUAUUCGGUUCUAAACUAAUCAAAAUAAAGGAAAAUAAAUGGUGAACUCUGAACAAGGAAAAAGAAGAUUUUUAUGAUAUUAAUGUAAUGAAAACGAUUUAGGGUCAUGAGCUAUCUAACACUCCUAUUGUAUUUUUCAAUUGAAUUGACUAACUAAUUUAUCUAGUUUAUUGGUUGACAAGGUUAAUAUUGCUCAUAAGAAUCUGUCGAGUUCUUACUUGCCUAUUCAAGCUAACCUAACACCUAUAUGUCUAUGAAGUUAGAAUCAGCAAGAACGCAUUUAUAAUUCCUGUAUAUCAACCAAGCAAGGCAAUUAGAUAUAUAUCUAUCCUAAUCGCGAAUCCAUUCCCCGAUGCCCGGAUUCAAGAACUUGCUCUACUCAAUUCUAUAUGCAAUCUAGAAUUCCCACUUUUGAGUUCAACUCUUGAUUCGUAGAUAGUAUUCAAUUGAUGAUCAAGCAAUUAAAUAAUUAAGCGCGAGAUUGAAUAAAUAAACCAAUAUGAUAAACUAAGAAGUCAAAAUCAAUAUUCGAAUAACAAUAGUCAUGAAAGAACCACAACCCUAGAACGUGAAGUUUAACUCCACAUAGACAUGGUAGCCAAAUAAUAAUUUAUACAAAGAAACAUAAAAAUUAUUAAAUUUGGUGGAAGAAAAGAUGAAAUCCGACCUCCACGGCGGCUCUGUGCUCUUCCUUGGUCAAAAGUUCCUCUCAAAAACGUUCUUCCUCUCCAAAAUAGGUUUAGGACCCCUUUUAUACGAGUUGAGACCGUGCAGGACCGAAAUAACUAAGUCCCGAACGAAAUAGGACAAGUCCCCGCUUCGAGCAUCUAGACCAGCGUUGGCGCUGGCUCAGAAAGCAGUGACGAUUUUGCAAUUCCUUCUUGCUGCGUUUGUGAUUUGCAUUCUUAUACCUUAUUCUUUUGUCUUCCACUUGGGGGACAAAACCUAAAGGGUGUCCCUCCCCCCUCCCUUUUAUUAUUUUAUUUUCCUUCCUUUUUCUUCACCGUUUUAUUUAAUUUUGCUCCAAAUCUCUUUAUUUUCAAAGCCCUUUAUUCCUACACAGUUAAUAAUAUUCAAAAGACGAUUCAAAGUAUUAGAAUAUAAGGUAACAAUGGGUAAAUAUAUGUAGUUUUUAGCCGAACAUCAUUCAGUCAAAUAUUGCUUUGUGAUUUGUCCUGAUAUAUUGGAAGAAAACCUGGAAGUAGUGAAAUCAAGUGCAAUAAUGGGAUGCUAAUACAGGCAUGAAGUAAAGCAAGGAAGUGAACGUUAUCGUGGGAACAAACUGCUUUUAAACUUCUAAAUAGAUAAAACAUUCUAUUGUGUGUACCGUGUAAAUUAAGUCAGUGUAUCUAUUAUCAACUAGAGGCAAUUACUUCAUAAAUAGCCAAAUGAAAGUUAGUUACUGCAUAACAUGUCCAGGUUUAACACAACUGAAAAACAAAAUAUGAAUAGCAAUAGCAGUUUAAAUGAAGUAGAAUGAAAUGGUUAAGAGCCAUAUCGGCUCCCCAGAAGAUUUUAUCUUCUGUAUUUUUGCUGCCUAGACGAUGUAAAAGUUGUAAAAGAUGAGGGUGUGCAAUCUUGGCGAGGUAGCGGCGUCGAGUCCCGCAUUGGAACUCCUUGCGGCUCCGAUGUUUAUGAAAUGCAAAGAAAUAGAAAGAAAGGAUAUUAGAGGGGGUCGGAAUCAAAUAUAUAGAAUAAACUUAACAAGAAAAUAAACCUAAAGCAUGGUAUUUAAGCUCAUGGAUGAUUACUGCCAUACUUUAUAAUGUAAAGUAAGUUAGAUCUAACAAGUAAUCAGCAAUGAUGAACAAACAGAGCAUGUAAAUGAAUAUAUGUUAAAGGCAUUCUAGCAUUUCUCAUUUAACCACAGUAGUAUGUGUUGGUAACCAAUUUAAUUUGUUUUUAAAAGAUGUUUAAUAUCUACAGGUAAGGUAUCUAGUUAUUAAACUAAAAGCUUAAGUCCUAAGUUGAGGUGAUGAUUGUGAAAGUGUUCAAUUCACUAAUUAAAUACGAAGACAUCAUUUUAUCCCAACAAAUUUCAAAACCAGACUUAGGUGUUAUACAAAAGGCAGCUGCUAAGAGUUUCUAGAGUGAAAUCCUAAUGAACAUGACGUCUAUCACCUCAAUGGAACUGAGUUUCCACUCAAAUACAUAUUCAUAAUAAAGGUAGGAAUCAACUCUCCUUAUUAUCACGAUUAUUAGACAUUUUAAAGUAAAAUAAAAGAUCUCCAAAGUUACAAAAUUACAAAUCACCAUCUCUAAUAGGGCAAGUCUUAUAAACAUUCAAGUACAUAUUUUGGUCAAACUAACAGAAUUUCUCCAAGAUACUAUGACUUUUAAAACAGAUUUUUAGCUUGGCGGUUAAGCACGAAACUUAAGCAUGCUUAUCUAUUCACAAACUAAAACAGACAGCGAGAUAAAGUAGAAAAUAUUUCCCAUAAACAAACAUGGAGCAUGUAUUAAACACUGAAAAUAGUUCGUAUAAGGAGGGCAAGCAAUAGCUUUUCAACAGGAAGUAAAGAAGCUGGAAAAAGACUAAGAUCAGACCUUUUUGUGGGCAGUGAACGGGAGCUUGAGCAACUUCAGAUCUACUAACGAGAUCGAAUCUAAAACUAGUUUGAGCGAACUGAAUCGAGAGACCCCAGAGAGCUAACUUUUCAAAAUAUUUUUUUUAUGAAAAUAAUAGAGAUUUCGAUUGUAGUAAAGUUGUCUAUCACACCCUGAUUCCCCAAAAUGAUUCAGUUGAAGGUUUUAGGAGUAUUUAUAGGAGAAGACUAGGAUUUGGAAGCGGGAAUUGAAAGAUCCAUUUAAAAUUCAAAAUGCUCGUUCAAGAUCUGUCCAAAAAUGUGUCAGAAAGAAGAUCAACAAAAUCAUCCUCUUCCUUCAGAGAUACAACGAUUUGGUCAACUUCGAUGCCAAAGUUUUCGGCUUUUCAUUUAAUAUGCAAGAGAGAGAAUGAAGACUCUGCUGAAAAAUGGUGAAACCAUUCUCAUUUCGUAGUGAAAGCAAGUUGAAAUUUUGUCCAAGAGAGGAAAGGGGUGGGGUCAGCUGCAUAGAGGGAAGAGGAACUAAGGUUAGGCUUAGUGGAGCUCUAUAUUACUAAAUAUGUUCAUAUUUUGCAUAUU